AAACACACCGUGACCCCAUGGAGGCCCCAUCGGUCUGCUUGUCCCUGGCACUUGAGGCUGAGCAUUUGCAUGGGCCUGGCCUAGGAGCCGGUUCUGCUCCGUGGCUGUGAAGCCGUAACCAGGUCCAACCUGGGAAUCAGUUUCCCUGGCCUCUCCCUUAAAACACAAACAAUUUCUCACCACUGUAGCCAGAGGAAGAGAGAGCACAUUUGUAUUUUACACUUGCACUUGGCUGGAUGUUGCUUGUGCUAGUUUUCUGAACACUGUACUGGGCAUGCUAGUAGUGCAGGACAAAGUUCACUUCAUGUGAUGCAAAGAGGGCUGGGGAAAGAUGACCUUGAGAUCAGUACUGAGGCUCCCCCCUGGGAAUUUUGUUUAAUUUUUUAAUAUUUUUAUUUUUUAAUAUUAUUUUUUUAAUGAAAAUAAUUUGAUCUCCUCAGGUCAUCUUGUAAGCUCCAAGGAGAAACCCUCACUUUCCUGGGAUGACGGAGAGAAGGAAUCACAGUUCCACCACAGCAAAUAAGUGUCAUCACUUUCCUUUCAGAUCCAAGGAAGUAUUUGGGUUUUUUUUUAAAGAAGCAAAAGAAGAACCCUCUUCUCUAGCAAGCAACAACAAAGACAAGGCCAGGCCCUGGUGUAUUGGAUGAAGAAAGAAGCCCUUCCUCUGGACAAGAUGUCUACUAGACCCAGCUGAGCAUUGUGAAAGAGUUAGUUCCUCACCUCUCUAAGCAAUUGCCUCUAAGGGUGGGAAUAUAAACUACAGUCUUGAUCACUUUAAUGUAGUGGUCAGCAUAAUUUGUUUUUUUAAGGUACAAACAUUUUAUCUUGUUGCCUGACUUCAGAAAAAGUAACAAAUGAGUAGGUAAAUGCACAGCUGUUUUUCAGGGAAUCAUAGCUCUGAUCUCAUCACUGGCAAAGGCUUGCUGCAGUAAAUCUGCAAAAGUGACUGAAAACCCCUCAGAAUCUGAGCACCAGGGCUUGACUGGGCUUUGGACAUAGAUGUUAAAUGAUUUUCUGCCAGUCUAGCCGACGUGGUCAUCACAAUUUCUUCUGACUGUCUUGACACCUCUUCUUGCUCCUAUGACUUGAAUACAGGUCAGGAGGACUUUCCAAUAUGUGGUAUUACGCCUAAACAGCUUUUCUGGAGCAGCAGUUUUGGAUCAGCAUUCCUGGAUAAUCCCACGAGUGGACAAUUCUGCUGUGCAAUAUUAAUAUCUACAUGUGGAAUUAAACAGAAAUAGUUGCUGUGUUUAGUUUCCUACCUGCAUUUGUGCCAAACUAAUUUUAAAGUGUAAAUGGUCCCUAAGAGAUUACAUAUGCACCCAGAGGAGGAAAUGCAUUCUGCUACUAUAAGGCUGAAUUUGUACAAUUUAUGGAGCAUGUCAUAUAAAUGGAAUGGACAGAAAUCUGUUACUAAAUUGGAAUUGAAGAACAUGAUUGAGUGUAUCAGUGAAUGACUAAGGCCUUUAGACCUUAAAAUUGGUUUGAGUGUUCAUAGCUAUAAGCAUCCAUGAGAUCUCCCAGCAACUGGAUUGUAUAUUUGCAUAUAUAGCCUCUUCCUCUGAGUUAAAAUUUGGAUUUUUUUUUUUCUGAUAUAUAUAAACAUUAUUCUGCCUCUCAGGCUUGACUUAAGUUACUGAAUAAAUUAGGAGUGAAAGACAACUGUGGAAAUUACAGCUAGAAAGGCAACUGAUUUAUUUUUUAAAUGCUUCUGCACAAUUUAAAUUUGAUUUGUGGUAAAUGAGACACUUGAGCAGAUGAAUUUGAAGGAGGCAUAACUUUCUCAGGCUUGCUUAUAUUUUCGGAUAGACUUACUGGAAAAGUUUUAGUUCAUCACUCUUCCAGGAUCUUGAAAUCUGACCAAGAAACCUUCCAAAGUAAUAUGAAGUUCAUGCUAAAACAAUGUUAUCAGAUAGGAAAAGUUAAUGCUACUGUUAUCUACAGGUCAGCUAACGUGUAAGUUCUCACAGAAGUUCUCUAGCAUAAUAGAUUUGCUUCCUUACUAUGGAAAUCAUGCUAUUGCUACUAUUAACAGAAACAAAAUCAGAUUCUGGCUCAACUAUUUCUAUUUAAUAAAGAAAAAAACCUGUUUAGAGCUACAGAAUAAGUAACAGCAUAUCAACUGUAUUGGUUCUUUUCCUCUGUGAACUAUGUCGAAAAAAAAAAAACCCCAACAAAUUAUUCGCUAAGACUAUUUUGUUUUCUUAGUUUGCUUGCUACACUGAAUUUUGCAAUUAUUAUUUAUAUGUCAUAUAGAGCUUCUCUGAAGUAUUUGAGUUGUGUUGAUAGCAUUUGUGUUUACAGAAUAAAAACACUUAUUUUUAC
rnacentral:lncRNA from 7 species